rnacentral:rRNA from 1 species
CCCUUAGAUGUUCUGGGCCGCACGCGUGCUACACUGAGUGGAUCAGCGGGUCAGGUUGCGCGAAAGCGUUUCCUAAUCUUUAAAUCCGCUCGUGAUGGGGAUUGACGAUUGCAAUUUUCUGUCAUGAACGAGGAAUACCUUGUAAGCGCGGGUCAUCAUCCCGCGCUGAAUACGUCCCUGCCCUUUGUACACACCGCCCGUCGCCCCUACCGAUUGAGUGGUCCGGUGAGGCUUUGGGAUCUGAGCGGAAAGAGCGUUUCGCUGUUUCUGCUCGGAAAACUCAGUCGAACCUUAUCAUUUAGAGGAAGGAGAAGUCGUAACA